AACGUGGCAAAACUACGGCUGUUUAAGGACAUUAACGAUGUACUGACAGAAAAUACGGGAACAAAAGCAAUUCAAGGCAUAGUCUUAAAGUUGCAUAAACAAAAAGAGGCAUAUUGGAAUCCUGAAUCCUUUUCAAAGGUUCAUGAUCUUAAAUUGCUCAUAAUUGAUAACGUUCACCUUUUGCACGAGCCCAAAUAUCUUCCUAAUGCCUUGAGAUUUCUUGACUGGAGUGAAUACCCUUCAAAAUAUUUUCCACCAAGUUUCCAACAAAAGUCUUUUGAUAGUUUGAAGUUCAUCAAAUUGAAGAAAUCACUAAAAUUGAUUAAAACUCCUGACUUCAACGAAAUCCCAAAUCUUGAGAAAUUGGAUCUUGAGGGUUGUAUAAAUUUACGUUCCUUGCACCCAUCAAUUGGAGUUCAUCAAAAACUCACUUUUCUUAACCUAAAAGGUUGCAAAAACCUCAAAAGGCUUCCAAGCAAGUUUGAAAUGGAGUCUCUUGAGAUCCUUAUUCUUUCUGAUUGCUCAAAUUUACAAAGAAUUCCGGAGUUUGGAGAAAAUAUGGAAAGUGUAUCAAGGCUUUGCUUAGAUGGCACUACUAUUACAAAAUUACCCACAUCAAUUGGGAAUUUGACUGGCCUUGCUUCAUUGAAUCUAAAAGAUUGCAAAAACCUCAGAAGUCUUCCAAGCAAGUUUGAAAUGGAGUUUCUUGAGAUCCUUAUUCUUUCUGGUUGCCCAAAUUUAAAAAGAAUUCCAGAGUUUGGAGAAAAUAUGAAAAGUGUAUCAAAGCUUUACUUGGAUGGAACUGCUAUUACAAAAUUACCAACAUCAAUUGAAAAUUUGACUGGGCUUGUUUCAUUGAAUGUAAAAGAUUGCAAAAAUCUCAUGUCUCUUCCUAGUACCUUUUUUAAUAUGAAGUGGCUCAAAGAUCUCAAUCUUUCUGGAUGCUCAAAACUAUUGGAAAACUUGGUGACUGAGAAAAGGGUAGAAGAGGUUGAUGUAAGUGGAACUGCCACAGGACUUAUGGCUUAUUCCAAUACUCUUUUUCAAACUCUUAAAACACUAGCUUUGGGUGGAUUUAAGCCGAGAAGUCCUAAUCGCAUGGGCUUGUUAAAGACUUCUUUAUGGGGCUUGUGUUCUUUGACUAGUCUGAAUCUAAGUUAUUGCAAUCUCAAUGCAAUCCCCAAUGAUAUUUGUCGCUUAUUCUCUUUAAAAUGUUUAUAUCUAAGUGGCAAUAAUUUUAGUUGUCUUCCGGAAAACAUUGCUCAACUAUCUAGGCUGUAUCAGUUGGAGGUGAACUAUUGUACGAGUCUUCUAUCAUUGCCAAAGCUUCCAUUAAAUAUUUCUUUUAUUUUCGGAAAGGGUUGUACCUCACUAGAAACUCUACCAGAUCUAUUACCACCAAAUUCUCCAUUUGAGCGUUACGUCUACCUUACAAAUUGCAGUAAAUUGGCUGAGAAUCAAGGCUUCAUUGACAAUGGAUUGCUGUUUUUUGCAGCGAUAAUAAGUUCCCUUCGGUGCCCUCGCUCUAAUACCCGUUACUACAGAUAUAACGGUGUUAUCCCUGGAAGUGAAAUUCCAAAGUGGUUUACACAUCAAAGUAUUGGGGAUGAGGUUAGUAUUCAAGAACCUAAUUCUCUUUUGUGUAAUGAGUGGAUCGGGAUUGCUGUUUGCGCAUUAUUUUGUUCUAAUCCACAUCACCAAAUCCUAAAAGAAGGUUUACUUAGCUGUUGGUUGAUAGUCAACGGAAAACAAAUGAAUCGCGCACCACUCACGACCGACUUUGUUCCUUUAUCGGAUCACACUUGGCUUCCUCAAUUCUACGAGGAGGAAGAAAUGAAGAAAUCAUUGUGCGAAUGCGAUGCAAAUGGAUUCAGUGAGAUUGGAAUUAAAAUUAAAAAUACUCGUGAAUUUUUGAAGGUCCCAUUAAUGGUAAAGAAGUGCGGGUUGCGAAUGAUAUACAAGAAAGAUAUUGAAGAUCUUAGUUUCGACAAUUCGACGGCGGCGGCAGUGGAAGGUUACAAAGCCAAGCGAACUCGUGAUGACUAUGAUGGGGCUGGAAGCUCUAAUUACGAACCUCACCCAAAAAGGAUUGAAAGAGUCACAAAAUUUAUGGGUGAGGGUAACUCUAACUGUGAGGAAUCAAGUGAGAACAAGGAAUGUGCUGAAGAGCUAGGUGAUUGAAGGUUAAUCAACUUUUUUCUCUGCAUGGAUGAAGAGCUGGACGAAGGGAGGGAGUUUUGGGGAUCUUAAAGCACUUCUCAUUGUCCUUUUUCUCUGUUUUAUGGUAUAUUUGGACUUGUAGGAACAAGGAAAACCGUGAAGAAAGAGCCUUUCUCUGCCAUUAAUGUGGUCUUGUAUUGUAAAAGUUUGAUUUCAAUGUGCAGGGUAACUUACAGUUCAAAAAACAAAGAAAAGCCUUGAUAGUAGCAGGAUAAGCAAGUGUAGACCUUUAGAGAGAAGGAAAUGCAGGGGAUCCAAGCUUCUUUUGAAAAAAUAGAGAAGGUGGAUGGAUUCCCUGUAGAGUCUAGAUCCCUAGCAACCCUUGCCCCUAAAUUCUUUGUGAACAUUAGCUUGGAUAACAUGCAGCAAACUUUGAAUCUUAUACUUUUCUGCUUGUGCUGUUUUGGUUCCUUCGUUUCAAAAUGUACGAAAAAAGAAUGGCAAGACAAAGAACUUUGUGGUGUUUUGAAUGCAGUAGAAAUCAUGUGCUGGAAAGCAAGUAAACAUUGAAACUGGAAGCUUUUACUGCCAAAGAACUGAUUUCUUUCAGCCUACUAAAUUCAGGCAUGGAUCAUGAGCUGGCUGAUUAGUGGAAAUUUGAAGAACUUAAAGUUCUUCUAGGUAGCUAACAGUUAAGAACUAAAGGAUUGCAUCCACAGUAGUAAAAUAAGCAAAGUCCAGACCUUUAUAGAAUCUUCCAACUGGCAACCAAUCCUGUUUGAGGAGAGCUGCAAGGGUAGAAGAACGAAAUGGAGGGGAUUCAUUCAGUUUUGAUUGUAAACAUAAAGAUGGGUCCAUUUUUGGUUGUUUGAGCUGGACUAGGGAGGCUGGAAUAGAAAUAACACAGAGGUGACAGAUCGAGCUGAUGAAGGACAUUCAGAUGUUUAGGAACCAGUUGACAGAUGUUUCGGGUUUGGAGAGGAGUUCAGACGUCUUCUGACAGAGCCUCAAUCUCCAGCAACCAUUGCUCCUAACUUCUUUAUGAACUUUAGCUUCGAUAACACAGUUGUUGAAUAGAAUAGUACAAUAGUUGUUGAUGAUUCUGCUUUCUUUAAACGACACUGUUUUUACUAAUUAAAUGCCAUGACAGUAGAGUGACGCCCUUUCAUUAAUUUGAUAGUUUUCGCUUGAUAGCUGUUGGUCCUUUCCAGUUGUCAAUGCCUCAUUGGCUCCACGUUAAUAUGAAGAAACUAAUAAUGCUUUUU